rnacentral:rRNA from 1 species
UGUGAUCAAGCUACUAAGGGCUUAGGGUGAAUGCCUUGGUGCCAAGAGGCGAUGAAGGACGCAGCAAGCUGCGAUAAGCCACGGGUAGCCGCAAGCAGGCGCUUAACCGUGGAUUUCCGAAUGGGGAAACCCAGCCGUUCUAAUAGACGGCUAUCGUUGGAUGAAUUCAUAGUCCAACGAAGCGAAACGGGGCGAAGUGAAACAUCUCAGUAACCCCAGGAAAAUAAAACGAAGUGAUUCCGUAAGUAGUGGCGAGCGAAAGCGGAACAGCCUAAACCGAGAGGACUUGUCUUCUCGGGGUUGAGGGACCUCGAUGUGGUAGGUAGAGAGUUAGCGGAACGGACUGGAAAGUCCGGCCAUAGACCGUGACAGCCGGGUAUGCGAAAACUCAAAACCGCCUAGAGGUAUCCCAAGUAAUGCGGUGCACGUGAAACUCUGCAUGAAUCCGUCCCGACCAUGGGAUAAGGCUAAAUACUACUUGGCAACCGAUAGUGAACUAGUACCGCGAGGGAAAGGCGAAAAGAACCCUUGUUAAGGGAGUGAAAUAGACCCUGCAACCCUAUGCCUACAAUGUGUAGGAGCCGCGCAAGCGGUGACUGCCUGCCUUUUGCAUAAUGAGUCUGCGAGUUAUUGUCAGUGGCCAGCCUAAGCCCUUCUGGGGUGGAGGCGAAGCGAAAGCGAGUACGAAAUGUGCGCCUAGUCGCUGGCAAUAGACCCGAAGCGGAGGUGAUCUACUCUUGAGCAGGUUGAAGCUGCAGUAACAUGCAGUGGAGGACCGAACUCGUGAAUGUUGAAAAAUUCUGAGAUGACUUGAGAGUAGGAGCGAAAGACUAAUCAAACCCCGUGAUAGCUGGUUCUCUCCGAAAUCGCUUGAGGGCGAGUGUCGGGUAAGUACACCGAGGAGGUAGAGCACUGAAUGGCUUAGGGGCCCUACCAGGCUGCCAAAACCAAUUAAACUCCGAAUUCCUUGGUUCCCUUUACCCCGGCAAUCAGACGGUGGGGGAUAAGCUCCAUCGUCGAGAGGGCAACAGCCCAGACCAUCAGCUAAGGUGCCUAAAUCGUGUUAAGUGGAAAGGAUGUGACGUUGCACAGACAGUGAGGAUGUUGGCUUAGAGGCAGCCAUCAUUUAAACAGUGCGUAAUAGCUGACUCAUCGAGCGAUGUCGCGCCGAAAAUGAUUGGCGAUUAAACACGAUACCGAAGCUAUGGAUUCCAGCGGGUUUCGACCCGUUGGAGUGGUAGGAGAGCGUAAUGAGUGCAGCGAAGCUGGACCGGAAGGGAAAGUGGAGCGCUCAUUAGUGAGAAUGCAGACACGAGUAGCGAAAAACCAAGUGAGAAUCUUGGUCGCCGUAAACCCAAGGUUUCCUGGGCCCGGUUCGUCCUCCCAGGGUUAGUCGGGAGCUAAGAUGAGGCCGUAAGGCGUAAUCGAUGCACAGCCGGUUAAUAUUCCGGCACUACUGACAUUUAACCAUCAGGAACGCAGAAAAGUUUGCUGACAGGGUCAUUGAAAGACCCAGCCUAGACUUCGGUCGAAGCGCGUCAGUUGGCUUCCACUGCCGAGAAAAGCUGAUGGGUAUACUAAGGUACCCGUACCGUAAACCGACACAGGUGGGUGAGUCGAGUAGACUAAGGCGCGCGAGAGAGCCCUCUCUAAGGAACUCUGCAAAAUAGCCCCGUAACUUCGGGAGAAGGGGUGCCCACUUCGGUGGGUCUCAGUAAAUUGGGUUUAGCGACUGUUUAACAAAAACACAGCACUCUGCCAAGUCGUGAAGACGACGUAUAGGGUGUGACACGUGACCAAUGCGGAAAGAUCAAGGUGAGCCGUUAGCGCAAGCGAGGCGGUGAGCCCAAGUCCCCGUGAAUGUCGGCCGUAACUAUAACGGUCCUAAGGUAGCGAAAUUCCUUGUCGGGUAAGUUCCGACCUGCACGAAUCGUGUAACGACUGAACCGCUGUCUCGGAGAGGAUCUCGGCGAAACUGUAAUGGCGGUGAAGAUGCCGCCUGCCCGCAGUAGGACGGAAAGACCCUAUGCACCUUUACUGUAAGCUGGUAUUGUGUUCUGAUUAAUGAUGCGUAGCGUAGGUGGGAGGCUUUGAAGGCAUGGCUCCGGUUGUGCCCGAGCUGCAAUGUGAAACACCACUCUUUGUUAAUUAGGAUUCUAACCCCAUUCCUGUGAAGCCAGGUGGGGGACAGUGCUUGCGGGUCAGUUUGACUGGGGCGGUUUCCUCCCAAAUUGUAACGGAGGAGCGCUAAGGUACUCUCAGCAUGGUUUGCAACCAUGCGUCGAGCGUAUGGGUAGAAGAGUGCUUAACUGCGAGACCAACAAGUCGAGCAGAUACGAAAGUAGGCCCAAAUGAUCCGAUGGUUGAAUAUGGAAUUGCCAUCGCUCAACGGACAAAAGGUACGCUAGGGAUAACAGGCUGAUCGGUUCCAAGAGUUCAUAUCGACGAACCGGUUUGGCACCUCGAUGUCGGCUCAUCGCAUCCUGGGGCUGGAGAAGGUCCCAAGGGUCCGGCUGUUCGCCGGUUAAAGCGGUACGCGAGCUGGGUUCAGAACGUCGUGAGACAGUUCGGUCCUUAUC